UACGGAGGGGGCUAGCGUUGUUCGGAAUUACUGGGCGUAAAGCGCACGUAGGCGGCUUUGUAAGUUAGGGGUGAAAGCCCGGGGCUCAACCCCGGAAUUGCCUUUAAGACUGCAUCGCUUGAACGUCGGAGAGGUGAGUGGAAUUCCGAGUGUAGAGGUGAAAUUCGUAGAUAUUCGGAAGAACACCAGUGGCGAAGGCGGCUCACUGGACGACUGUUGACGCUGAGGUGCGAAAGCGUGGGGAGCAAACAGG
rnacentral:rRNA from 1 species